AACGAACGCUGGCGGCAGGCUUAACACAUGCAAGUCGAGCGCCCCGCAAGGGGAGCGGCAGACGGGUGAGUAACGCGUGGGAACGGACCCUUUGCUACGGAAUAGCUCCGGGAAACUGGAAUUAAUACCGUAUGUGCCCUACGGGGGAAAGAUUUAUCGGCGAAGGAUCGGCCCGCGUUGGAUUAGCUAGUUGGUGGGGUAAUGGCCUACCAAGGCGACGAUCCAUAGCUGGUCUGAGAGGAUGAUCAGCCACAUUGGGACUGAGACACGGCCCAAACUCCUACGGGAGGCAGCAGUGGGGAAUAUUGGACAAUGGGCGCAAGCCUGAUCCAGCCAUGCCGCGUGAGUGAUGAAGGCCUUAGGGUUGUAAAGCUCUUUCACCGGAGAAGAUAAUGACGGUAUCCGGAGAAGAAGCCCCGGCUAACUUCGUGCCAGCCGCCGCUGUAAUAC
rnacentral:rRNA from 1 species